CUAGAGUGUGCCACAUGGGACCACUACACAUUUUAAAAGCUAAGUUAGAAGACACCCUUAUCAAAAAAAUUCCAAGUAUUUUGGAGAAUUGGACUCAAACAAGAUUUCUCUAGGCUCUAAUAAUACUUCAGAUCCAUAGGAAUUGAGUAGACUUGUCAUUUCAAAUAUCUCCAAUGCAAAAACUUUCUUAGAAACAUGGUACCUAGACUUAAUCCUAAUGCAUAAUAUUUUAGGUUUGGAUGCCUUGGUGGGCCUGGGGUUCCAUGGCUUAAGUUCGUUAGACACUUGACUCUUGCUAGAAGCAUAUUGCAUCAUAUUUUUGCCUGGAUGAGGAAUACAACCACAUCCACUCUCAUGUUUCUACAUGGUACAAGUCUAUGAUAGUUGGAUAUGAUGUGGACUAAUGAUUAAAUGUCUAACGAGAAAUGUCUCGAGAAUCCUUAUAGGAUCCAUGUCUUGUGUUCUAACACCUCCCAUAUAAGAAGAGCCAUGUCUCGUGUACUAAAACCUCCCAUAUAAGAAGAGCUAUGCAUAAUAUUUUAGGUUUGGAUGCCUUGGUGGGCCUAGGGUUCCAUGGAUUAAGUUUGUUAGACACUUGACACUUGAUAGAAGCAUAUUGCAUCAUAUUUUUUCCUUCAUGAGGAAUACAACGACAUCCACUCUCAUUUUUAUCCAUGGUAGGGAAAUCAAAAAUGUUGUUGAUCCGUUAGGUUUUUAUGCCCUCAAGAGCAAUUGGCCAAGAGUCCCUGAAAUGGUUUGGGAUGCAAAUUUCAUGGAGGAAUUUUUUCAUGGGAGAGAUGCCCAUAAUCAUAACUUGAAUACAACCCCACUUGGGUUUUUUCUUAUACCACAAGCUUGGUAUUUCAAGAUAGGUAGAAUUUGUGCAGUUGUCUACAUUUGUGAUUUUGAUAGAUCUGAUCCACUUGUAUUGUCUUGUAGUAGAUGUCAUUAUUUUUACAUGACAUCCUGAACAGUUCAUGGCGUGGUGUCCAAAUACUUUGACUUGUUAUGUUGCCAGGCUUGAGGUAUGAUAGAUUUUGGCAAGUUAUUGAUGAUCCAAGGUUAUGUUCCUUCAGUUUCACAAGUGGUCAGUGUUUCUAAAAGGUUUGAAACACCAUGAUAUCAUCUUGUGUUGUUGGUUACAAUGAGACUUCCACAACUUAUACUUGUGUUGUUGUUGUUGGUUCCUUAAAGAAGAUGUAAUAUCUUUAAAAGACAUUCAUUUUCCUUCAUCUAGUUUUGUCAAUCUAAAAAUGGGAAAUGAUGCCUUAUUUCUAGUUUCUUCUUCAAGCAUAACUAAUGUUAAAGGGGUCUCUAGUGGUUGUGAUGAAAGGCAUUUUUAUGCUCACAAAAAUGUUAGCAUAUUAAAACGAAAGAAAGAGGGUUAUUAAGUGUUUGGCAUCUAAUGGCAUGAUAUUCUAUGGAUGAGGAUGGUGGAAAGAGCGUGGGAAAAAAUAAAUGAGAAUUAAAGAAGAUGAGCUAGAAGUCGAAGUGUGAAUCGAAACAAUUUAGAAUUUACUACUGCAAAAUAUUUUGAAGUUCUUAGGUCUUAUUUUCAAAAGGAAAUGACUCAAAAGUAUGCUCCAUUGGUAUCAUUCUUGUUACCACAUGCAUGACUUGAUCUUUUAGGCUCCAAGCAUGUUGUAAAUCUCCUAGUACCAAGCACUACAGCACUGAAGUAACCCAUGUCAUACUCCCAGGAAAAGCUCGAAUGACCUUUAACAAACGGGUACCUGUACCCGAAACCGACACAGGUAGGUAGGUAGAGAAUACCUAGGGGUGAGAGACAAAUCUCUCUAAGGAACUCAGAAAAAUAGCCUUGUAACUUCGGGAGAAGGGGUGCCUCCUCAGGAGGUCGUAGUGACCAGGCCCGGGCGACUGUUUACCAAAAACAUAGGUAUCCACAAAGUCAUAAGACCAUGUAUGGGGGUUGAUGCCUGCCCAAUUCCAGAAGGUUAAGGAAGUUGGUGACCUGAUGAUGGGGAAGCCAGCAAUCGAAGCCCCGGUGAUUGACGGUCGUAACUAUAACGGUCCUAAGGUAGAUAAAUUACUUAUCGAGUAAGUUCUGACCCGCACGAAAGGCGUAACGAUCUGGGCACUUUCUCGGAGAGAGACUCAGUAAAAUAGACAUGUCUGUGAAGAUGCGGACUACUUUCACCUGGACAGAAAUACCCUAUGAAGCUUUAUUGUUCCCUGGGAUUGUCUUUGGGUUCUUCUUACGUAGCUUAGGUGGAAGGCAAAGAAGGAUCCCUCUCGGGGGGGCCUGAGCCACCAGUAAGAUACCACUCUGGAAGAGCUAGAAUUCUAACCUUGUGUCAGGACCUAUGGGCCAAGGGACAGUCUCAGGUAGAUAGUUUCUAUGGAGUGUAGGCCUCCCAAAAAUUAACGAAGGUGUGCAAAAGUUUCCUCGGGAUGGACGAAAAUCGGCCCUCGAGUGCAAAGGCAGAAGGGAGCUUGACUGCAAGACCCACCCGUCGAGCAGGGAUGAAAUUCGACCUUAGUGAUCCGAUGGUGCCGAGUGGAAGGGCCAUCACUUAAUGGAUAAACAUUACUCUAGGGAUAACAGGCUAAUCUUCCCCAAGAGUUCACAUCGACGGGAAGGUUUGGCACCUCGAUGUCGGCUCUUCGCCACCUGGGGUGGUAGUACGUUCCAAGGGUUUGGUUGUUCACCCAUUAAAGCAGUACAUGAUCUGGGUUCAGAAUGUCGUGAUAUAGUUCGGUGCAUAUCCGGUGCGGGCGUUAGAGCAUUGAGAGGACCUUUCCCUAAUACGAGAGGACCAAGAAGGACGCACCUCUGGUUUACUAGUUAUCGUGCCCACGGUAGACGCUGGGUAGCCAAGUGCAGAGUGGAUAACUACUGAAAUCAUAUAAGUAGGAAGCCCACCCCAAGAUGAGUUCUCUCCUAUUCUUACUUCCCUGAGAUCCCUAGUCACGAACACGGAUGGGACAAUGACGGGUUCUCUGUCCUUACAGGGGAUGGAGUGAAAAAAGUAUUGAGAAUCCAAGAUAAGGUCAUGGAGAGAUGAGUCGUUUAUCAUUAUGAUAGGUGUCAAGUGGAAGUGAAAUGAUGUAUGCAACUGAGGCAUCCUAAUAGACCGAGAGAUUUGAACCU
rfam:Picea glauca, whole genome shotgun sequence.